ensembl:lncRNA
CAAUUGUUCUGGUACCUCCAUGUUUCUCUGACGCGCCAUCAAAAAGUGGGCUGUUUCUCUUUGGCCAUUCAUAAGAAAGGAUUACUGACAAUCUAGAAACUUCUAUCAGCUUUCUUUUCUAUCCCAAACUAAUAUGAAACCAUUUCUCAAGUAUCAGCUUUUCAACAAAAGUCUUCAGUGGAUGACCCUGUGUCAUGAAAACCAGUGCAGCAGAUUGGAUCCUGAGGUCUCUCGGUGCUGUAAAUCACACCAUUAAAUCUGCCAUGAGCAACAGAGGCUGUUGGAAAGAAGAGAAAGAAAACGUGGUGAUGAAUCUCAGUUUCUGAUACACGCCGGAUGCUGAUGACACAGAAACAUUGCCUGGAAUCUGGCCAGUCUGAGUGCUACGGUCGGAGGAAAGUUGAAAAGUAAAUCAAGAUCUAAGUUGGAAUCGUAGUUUCAAGGCAAUGAGAUGUGUGAUUUGGGCAAGUUACUAAAUCUCUAUGGACCAUAGUUUUCCUCAUCUGUUUAGGAAAAGGGGGUGUUGGAUUUCAAUUACUUCUAAAUUGUCUUCCAGGUCCAGUUUAGAAUAAAUUAAGGGACCAAGAGAGGCUGUUUGGGCCAUUUGACUGCCUCUGGCAAAGGCUUGCCAGUAUUAUCCAGUCUACAUCUCAAUCAGAGUCUAAAUGAAGGACAAUCAGGCAAUGUGGUGUUCUCGAAAGGGAAAAAAGGAAAAGAAAAAAUACUACCUCCAGCAUCUAAACUUGGUAGUGGGAAGAUGAGAAUUCAAUCACUGGUUUGGAGUGGGAACAGUGUUUUCAAGAUUCAUUAAAUAUGACAGAGCUUGCUGCCAGUAUUUCUCUAAUAUCUGCAUUUAUUUUUAUAACACAAAUGGAUAUUUUAGGCACUAGAGUUUAAAAGAUCAGACAGCUUUCAUCCACACACUUUGGUGCAGAAUAUUUUUUCCCAAAAUCUUCUCUGCUAAGAACCACCUUUACACUGAGAAUCACUUUGUACAAAAAUUAAGAGGGUUUUUAACACUUUUGAGACAUAUAAUUUUUCUUUUGUUCAGAAUUCUAUACAUGCAGGCUUCAGAUUGAGCAACCUAUGUAUUGAGUUUGUAAUAAUCCUAUAAUUAUAGACUUGAGAGAAUGUUAAAAUUGCUUAUAAUUGGGAAAAGUCUGACCGGUGAACCAUGCCAUUCUUUCAUCGACUCCUUGUUAUAAGCAAGCCCCAUCCUGGCCUUCAAACUGCUUGGAGAAGCUCUUUUAAGAUGCUCUUGUGAUAAGAACAGACAAAUAACAAAGUGUGAAGUUUAUAUUUGGAGUUUAUCCCUAGGCAUUAGCUCUGUUUCUGUAGUUAAUACUGAUUUGCCACUUUUCCAAUGGAGUUAAUCAGUGCUCGCUACUUAAGAGACCAGGUUCUAGAAUCUGCCAUAGUUGAAGUCACAGCUCUAUCAUUCACUUGCUGUGUGACUUUGGGGGAGUCAUUUCACCUCUCUGAGGUUUAUUUUUCUCAUCUCUAAGACAUGGUUAUUAUGAUUCAAUGAGAUAAAGCAUCCUAUACUUGAUUUGCUACAUAACAGGGGCAUAAUGAAUUUAAAUACCAUUAGUUAUUAUUAUUAUUCACUGUAAUUCUAGAAAAUUCAUGCAAUGUUUCAAAACUUUGAUCUGUUCCACCUAUAAAAAAGUAAUGAUACAUAUGCUGUCAGUUUUACAAGACUGAUAUUAAAUCAGCUGUAAAAACAGGACUCAAAGCAAUUUGACAUUUACGAAGUAUAGAUUAAAAUAAAGAAGUGAUGAUUAUUUUGAUUUUAUCUGGUCUUGUGUUCUAGACCAAGAAAUCUUCAAGUGAGAUAGAAUGACAGCUUUAGCUAUCACCAGAUUCCUUGAUAUUUUUUGAACAUCAUAUAAAAGUACUAAGAGAAAAAAAAAAUAAGUUACAUCUAAUAUCCACAGCAUUGGUCAAUUAACAAAAGCUUGAAUCUAUGGUCUUUUUCCUUGUCAAUUGUGGACAAUUUUGUACUGAAAAGUUAAAAGAGAUCUUGUAUGUUAGUAGGAAAAGAUCCAGAUGUGUGACAUUUCUAAUCCUUAUGCAAAUUAAAACUAUUAAUAUUUUCCCAAGCUUAAGAAAUCUCCAUCAAGAAAGAUUAUCUAAACCUAUUUCACAGCAUUGAAAUAUUCAAAUAUAUUUAGAAAAUUAGAGUAUUCAAAUUUAUUUUCUAUUUUAAAAAGUUAAAUUCAUAUCUAUUUAGAGCUUUUUUAAAAACCAGAAAGAGAUGAACAUGUCAAAAGAAAAAAAAAGUGUGCAAAAGGGUAUAUAUUGGGUUAGCAAAAAAAUUUGAAUGAACUCUUUAGCCAACUCAGUAAUAAGCCAAAGGGAAUACAUAUAACUGAUAAACUCACAGAUAGUCAAUGAAAUAAAAGUGAACAUGAGGAUGCAAUU